UACGUAGGGCGCAAGCGUUGUCCGGAAUUACUGGGCGUAAAGCGCACGCAGGCGGUUUGUUAAGUCAGAUGUGAAAUCCCCGAGCUUAACUUGGGAACUGCAUUUUAAACUGGCAAGCUAGAGUCUUGUAGAGGGGGGUAGAAUUCCAGGUGUAGCGGUGAAAUGCGUAGAGAUCUGGAGGAAUACCGGUGGCGAAGGCGGCCCCCUGGACAAAGACUGACGCUCAGGUGCGAAAGCGUGGGGAGCAAACAGG
rnacentral:rRNA from 1 species